GCGCAGCAGGCGCGAAACCUCCGCAAUACACGAAAGUGUGACGGGGCCAUCCCGAGUGCCGUCCGCUGAGGACGGCUUUUCCCCAGUGUACAUAGCUGGGGGAAUAAGGAGAGGGCAAGCCUGGUGUCAGCCGCCGCGGUAAUACCAGCUCUCCGAGUGGUGGGGACGCUUAUUGGGCCUAAAGCAUCCGUAGCCGGCUGGGCAAGUCCUCCGUUAAAUCCAACGAUUCAAUCGUUGGGCUGCGGGGGAUACUGUCCAGCUUGGGGGGCGGGAGAGGCCGACGGUAUUCCCGGGGUAGGGGUGAAAUCCUAUAAUCCCGGGAGGACCACCAGUGGCGAAGGCUGUCGGCUAGAACGCGCCCGACGGUGAGGGGAUGAAAGCUGGGGGAGCGAACCGGAUUAGAUACCCCUGUAGU
rnacentral:rRNA from 1 species